rnacentral:tRNA from 1 species
GCCUGGCUAGCUCAGUCGGUAGAGCAUGAGACUGUUAAUCUCAGGGUAGCGGGCCGCACCACACCCAUGGUGGAUUUGGACCCCCGCCAAACA